ensembl:snoRNA SNORA73 Small nucleolar RNA SNORA73 family
CUGAUGUGGAUCUUCUGGGAGAUCACUGCCUGGGCUCAGUCCAGGCAGCAUAGGGAGCAUAGGGCUCUGCUGCAUGAUGCACAGCCCCUUUCCACAACCCUGGAGAUGAAGCUUGGACUUGAGUUUGCACCUGCAUAUUUCUAUGAUUUUUCAGAGUCCUGUGGACAAUGUCUGAGGAGACAAACCAUGAGGAAACAAUA